rnacentral:lncRNA from 1 species
UUUUUUUAAAAUGCUGCAGUAAAAAGCUUUUAUGUGAAGUACACACAUAGAUUAGCAUGUCCUGUAUAAGAUCUGACCAUUGUUUUUUUCUACUUAUUUGAAAGGGGGUAUUUAUAGUACUUUUUCUAUGUAAUACCCUGUUUCUUCAAAAUGCUGCAGUAAAAAGGUUUCAUGUGAAGUACACAUAUAGUCUGGGAUGUCCUGUGUAAGAACUGACCAUUGUUUUUUUCUACUUAUUUAAAAUGCGGUCUUUAUAGUAUUUUAUAUUAUGUUAAUACCCCGUCUCUUUAAAAUGCUGCAGUAAAAAGGUUUCAUGUGAAGUACAUAUAUAGUAUGGGAUGUCCUGUAUAAGAACUGACCAUUGUUUUUUUUUACUUAUUUAAAAUGGGGUCUUUAUAGCACUUUAUUUUAUGUUAAUACCCCAUUUCUCUAAAAUGCUGCAGUAAAUAGGUUUCAUGUGAAGUGGAGAUAUAGUAUGGGAUGUCGUGUAUAAUAACUGACCAUUGUUUUUUUUCUACUUAUUUAAAUAGGGGUCUUUAUAACACUUUGAAAUAUAAUAUUAUACAAUUUCUCCAAAACACUGCAGUAAUAAGGUGAAGUGUGAAGUACUUAUAUAGUAUGGGAUGUCCUGUGUAAGAACUGACCAUUGUUUUUUUCCUACUUAUUUGAAAUGUAGUCUUUAUAGCACUUUUUAUAAGGUUAUUACCCCGUUUCUCCAAAACAGUGCAGUAAAAAGAUUUCAUAUGAAGUACACAUAUAGCAUGGGAUGUUCUGUACAGGAACUGAUCAUUGUUUUUGUCUACUUAUUGGAAAUUGGGUCUUUAUAACACUGAGUAAUGUUAAUACCCAAUUUCUCCAAAACACUGCAGUAACAAGUCUUUAUUUGAAGUUUAGAAUGUGAUGUCCUGUAUCAGACCUGACUAUUGUUUUUUUUCUACAUAUUUUAAAUGAGCAUUUUUUGUCCAAAUUGCUGAAGUAAAAAGUAUUCAGAUGUAGUAUAUAUGCAUAUAGCAUGGGACAUCCAGUAUCAAACCAGAUCAGUCUUUUAUUUAACUUAUGUCAAACAAUGUAUUUAUGCACUUUAAAGACUUUAUAGCUCAAUAAUAGCACAUUUCUCCAAAAUGCUGCAGUAAGUUAUUAUGAGGUAUGCAUAUAAUAUUGGAUGUCCUGUCCAUUGUUUUCUUCUGCUCACCUGAAUGAGGUCUUUUACAUGAGGUAUGCAUGUACAUCCUGUAUCAGAACCAAACUUUGUAGUUUUUCUACUUAUUUCUUUAUAGCACUUUAAAGUGUGUUAAUGGUACAUUUCUCCAAAAUGCUGCAGUAAAACAGGCUUCAUAUGAUGUAUGCUUAGUAUUUGACUGCCUGCAUCUGAUCUUAUUGUUGUUCUAUUCUACUUAUAACAAAUAAUAAGGUCUUUACAGUCAUCUAAAGUGUAAUAAUGCCCCAUAUCCCAUAUACUGAAAGAAGCAUAACCUUUUAAAUCCCCUUUAAAUGAAAUAAACAUAUAUUUGUAAUUCAAACAAUGUUUUGUUGGACUACUUUAUGAUUGUUUUCACUUUCUGAGGUUAGCCACGUUGUAAAAAAUUGCAUUUAACCUUAUUUGCAAUGUACUGUAGUUGGCUAGGAGAAGUAGAAACGCAUUCUGUGUAUUUAGAAAUCAUGUAAUUUGCUAUCUGGGUUUGAUCUGCUAUAAAAUCAUUUGAAGCAAAAAGAUAAACUUGAGGAAAUUAAAGGUAAGCCCAGAAACCAAUUUCUUAAAAUAACAACAGUCAAACAAAGCUAAUAAAUUGUUUAAUAAAGCAUACGUGGGAGGAAAGGGGGAUAAACUUAUAUUUCGUUGUUAUCUCUCUUUUCUGGGCGAAAUG